UACGGAGGGUGCAUGCGUUAUCCGGAUUCACUGGGUUUAAAGGGUGCGUAGGUGGUCUGUUAAGUCAGCGGUGAAAGCCUGGAGCUCAACUCCAGAAUUGCCAUUGAUACUGACGGACUUGAAUCAAGUUGAGGUGGAUGGAAUAUUACAUGUAGCGGUGAAAUGCUUAGAUAUGUAAUAGAACACCAAUUGCGAAGGCAGUUCACUAAGCUUGUAUUGACACUGAGGCACGAAAGCGUGGGGAUCAAACAGG
rnacentral:rRNA from 1 species